rnacentral:rRNA from 1 species
GGGUCUGAUCAACCAACACUAAAGUAUCGGAUCCCAGCAUAACUUCGCAUUUAACCGUACAUAGGAGAAUGUAGUAUUGUGAUGGAUGACCUCCUGAAAAAUUCUCUUAUUGCACUCU